rnacentral:rRNA from 1 species
AGGAUGAACGCUGGCGGCGUGCCUAACACAUGCAAGUCGAACGUCCUGUCUCGCAAGAGGCAGGGAGUGGCGGACGGGUGAGUAACACGUGAAUAAUCUACCUCCGAGUGGGGAAUAACUGAGAGAAAUCUUAGCUAAUACCGCAUAACACUUACGAGUCAAAGCAGCAAUGCGCUUGGAGAGGAGUUCGCGGCAGAUUAGUUAGUUGGCGGGGUAAUGGCCCACCAAGACGAUGAUCUGUA